UUGAUUACGUCCCUGCCCUUUGUACACACCGCCCGACGCUGCCCGGGACUGAGCCAUUUCGAGAAACUUGGGGACUGCUGAUCCGGUGGCAUCGGCCUCCGCUUCGGUGGAAACCAAUUUAAUCGCAGUGGCUUGAACCGGGCAAAAGUCGUAACAAGGUAGCUGUAGGUGAACCUGCUGCUGGAUCAUUACACGCACCGUGAUGGU
rnacentral:rRNA from 1 species